rnacentral:snRNA from 1 species
AGUUUUGCGCAGUGGCAGUAUUGUAGCCAAUGAGGUUUAUCUGAGGUGCGAUUAUUGCUAAUUGAAAAGA